UGCCCACUGGGCGUCUCAGCGCUGUGGGGCUGGACUUCCGCUUCCGGUUCUCUUGGUCCCAGGGAGCCCUCCAACGCGGUUUCCGGCUGGUCCCCCACCCUGCCUCUGGUCCUUGUCUUCACCGGGCCCAUGAUUCAGUGGAAAUACCCUCCAACUUGCAGUGAGGAUGUGAAGGCUUCCCCACAUGCUGAGGCCCCAGCCACGGGUCUCUAACCAGCGUCACCCACAGGCUGCAGAAUGGUGAUAGGAUUCAGCGACCUAGGCCUUCGGAGCUGUCUCCUCCUCCUUCACUUUAGCUGAGGCGCCCUCUCGCGCUUUGGCUGACAUACACAGCUUGAUCUCCAAGCGGAUGGCUUUGGCCCAGGAGGCAGCACGGCGUUUCAGUAGUAGAGUUCAGUAGUAGAGCAUCUUCUUAGUACGCCUGAGACCCUGGGCUCGAUCCACAGCACAACCGAAUAAAAAGUGUUGGCAAAGAUGCCGUGCACUGUUAAUGGGAAUCUGAAGUGAUACAGCCGCCAUUGAAAACGGCAUUUGUGGAGCUGCUUGGCCCUGUGAUCCAAGAGCGAUGCAACAGGUCCACGUGGUCUCAGACACGCAGGUUGCCAGCAUCAAUCCAAGCAGGCCCAUAAUACUUCUUUACCUUCCCAAACUGGGAGCACUUGGGCAGGCAGAAGUGCGGAGCAGCUGGGAAUUAAUUAAGGUACCGUGGAACAAAAGAACAUUAAAA